rnacentral:rRNA from 1 species
CCUACGGGAGGCAGCAGUGAGGAAUAUUGGUCAAUGGACGAGAGUCUGAACCAGCCAAGUAGCGUGAAGGAUGACGGCCCUAUGGGUUGUAAACUUCGUUUAUAAAGGAAUAAAACGAGGCACGUGUGCCUUUUUGCAUGUACGUUAUGAAUAAGGAUAGGCUAACUCCGUGCCAGCAGCCGCGGUAAUACGGCGGAUCCGAGCGUUAUCCGGAUUUGUUGGGUUUAAAGGGAGCGUAGUUGGGUUGUUAAGUCAGUUGUGAAAGUUUGCGGCUCAACCGUAAAAUUGCAAUUGAUACUGGCAGUCUUGAGUACAGUUGAGGUAGGCGGAAUUCCUGGUGUAGCUGUGAAAUCCUUAGAUAUCACGAAGAACCCCGAUUGCGAAGGCAGCUUACUAACCUGUGACUGAUAUUGAUGCUCGAAAGUGUGGGUAUCAAACAGGAUUAGAUACCCCAGUAGUC